GACGUAGGGGGCGAGCGUUGUCCGGAGUUACUGGGCGUAAAGGGCAUGCAGGCGGUGGCGCGCGUUUUGUGUGACAGCGGAUGGCUUAACUAUCCGAGCAUACGAAAGACGGCGGCACUUGAGAGCGCGAGAGGGACACGGAAUUCCGGGUGGAGUGGUGAAAUGCGUAGAGAUCCGGAGGAACACCGAAGGCGAAGGCAGUGUCCUGGCGCGUAUCUGACGCUGAGGUGCGAAAGCCAGGGGAGCGAACGGG
rnacentral:rRNA from 1 species